rnacentral:rRNA from 1 species
GACGAACGCUGGCGGCGUGCUUAACACAUGCAAGUCGAGCGGAAAGGCCCUGCUUGCCGGGUACUCGAGUGGCGAACGGGUGAGUAACACGUGGGUGAUCUGCCCUGCACUUCGGGAUAAGCCUGGGAAACUGGGUCUAAUACCGGAUAGGAGCCAUUUUUAGUGUGAUGGUUGGAAAGUUUUUUCGGUGUAGGAUGAGCUCGCGGCCUAUCAGCUUGUUGGUGGGGUAAUGGCCUACCAAGGCGGCGACGGGUAGCCGGCCUGAGAGGGUGGACGGCCACAUUGGGACUGAGAUACGGCCCAGACUCCUACGGGAGGCAGCAGUGGGGAAGAUUGCACAAUGGGCGCAAGCCUGAUGCAGCGACGCCGCGUGGGGGAUGACGGCCUUCGGGUUGUAAACUCCUUUCGCUAGGGACGAAGCUUUUUGUGACGGUACCUAGAUAAGAAGCACCGGCUAACUACGUG